CCUACGGGAGGCAGCAGUGAGGAAUAUUGGUCAAUGGACGAGAGUCUGAACCAGCCAAGUAGCGUGAAGGAUGACUGCCCUAUGGGUUGUAAACUUCUUUUAUAAAGGAAUAAAACGAGGCACGUGUGCCUUUUUGCAUGUACUUUAUGAAUAAGGAUCGGCUAACUCCGUGCCAGCAGCCGCGGUAAUACGGAGGAUCCGAGCGUUAUCCGGAUUUAUUGGGUUUAAAGGGAGCGUAGAUGGGUUGUUAAGUCAGUUGUGAAAGUUUGCGGCUCAACCGUAAAAUUGCAAUUGAUACUGGCAGUCGUGAGUACAGUUGAGGUAGGCGGAAUUCGUGGUGUAGCGGUGAAAUGCUUAGAUAUCACGAAGAACCCCGAUUGCGAAGGCAGCUUACUAAACUGUGACUGACAUUGAUGCCCGAAAGUGUGGGUAUCAAACAGGAUUAGAUACCCCGGUAGUC
rnacentral:rRNA from 1 species